rnacentral:rRNA from 1 species
AUGGCAGCUGAAACAGAUCACCACCGACGCGCUGAUCACGUCGUGCUGUUCCCGUUCAUGGCGCAGGGCCACCUCGCGCCGUUCCGCUGCCUCGCCGCCCUCGUGCGCCGCUGCCGGCCGGACGCCCGGGUCACCUUCGUCGCCACCUCCUGCACGGCCGAAUCCCUCCGCGCCCACCUCGACGACGAAGGCAUCGCCGUCCACGCCAUCCCCUUCAGCCCCGCCAACGCCAGCGUACGCUCCUUCCAGCGGCUCAUCGACCUCUUCCUCGCCUCCGAGUCCCUCCGUCCGGCGUUCCACCAGUUCAUCGUGGAACUCAGACGCUCCGACCCCCUCGCCGACGUGCACGUCGUGGCGGACAUGUUCCUGGCCUGGACGGUGGACGUCGCCCGCGGCGACCCCGGCGUCACGCACUCCGUCCUGCUCACCAGCAGCGGCUACGGCUCGGCGCUCUACUUCUCGCUCUGGAACAGCGUCCCGCUUGUCCCCAACGACGAGGAUGACGAAUGCUUCAUCCUCCCGAGCUUCCCGGACAUCAGCGUCCACCGUUCGCAGCUCACCGAUCACCUCGCGGCGGCCGACGGCUGCGACGCGCGGUCCACCUUCAUCCGCAGGCAGAUCGCCGCCUUCUCACGUGCCGACGCGCUGCUCGUGAACACCGCCGAGAAGCUGGAGCCAAAGGGAUUAAGCAUGCUUAGGCAAUGGCUCCACAAUGUCCCGAUAUUCCCGGUCAGGCCGCUGCUCCGGGCAGCAAGAUCGGCAUUGCCGGAGAAGGCGACAACGACUAGCCCCAUCUUGGCUUGGCUCGGCAAGCAACCCCCAGGCUCGGUGCUGUACGUGUCGUUCGGGUCGCUGUACACGAUCUCCACGUCGCAGGCGACGGAGCUGGCAAUG